AUGCAGACCUUACUUCGCAUGUUGAAUUCUUCAUCAACAACGUCAAAGAGACAUGGAACCGUCACUACGAAAACUGAAAGGUCCAUAUCAGACAUUUCCCGAUUGAGUACGUGGCGACUACGAAUCAAGGGGACACGACGGACUGUGGCUUUCACACGUUGGAAUACUUUGCAAAGUGGGAAGGUAGACUUGUCCCCGCUGUCACAGCUGCAACGGUCGUUGAGCUCCGGAAAAUUUACACAUGGAACUGGUUGA
rnacentral:rRNA from 1 species